rnacentral:rRNA from 2 species
CAACAGGGAUUGCCCCAGUAACGGCGAGUGAAGCGGCAACAGCUCAAAUUUGAAAUCUGGCUCUCGGGCCCGAGUUGUAAUUUGUAGAGGAUGCUUUUGGUGAGGUGCCUUCCGAGUUCCCUGGAACGGGACGCCAUAGAGGGUGAGAGCCCCGUCUGGUUGGACGCCGAACCUCUGUAAAGCUCCUUCGACGAGUCGAGUAGUUUGGGAAUGCUGCUCUAAAUGGGAGGUAUAUGUCUUCUAAAGCUAAAUACCGGCCAGAGACCGAUAGCGCACAAGUAGAGUGAUCGAAAGAUGAAAAGAACUUUGAAAAGAGAGUUAAACAGUACGUGAAAUUGUUGAAAGGGAAGCGCUUGUGACCAGACUUGGGCUUGGUUGAUCAUCCGGGGUUCUCCCCGGUGCACUCUUCCGGCCCAGGCCAGCAUCAGUUCGCCCUGGGGGAUAAAGGCUUCGGGAACGUGGCUCUCUCCGGGGAGUGUUA